AACAGCCACACCAAAAGUGGCUUUGGAGAGAAGUGUCCAUCUUGUCCAGCACUCUGACCUCAGACCAUUCCUUUUGUAGCCUGACCCAAGCUCAGACAGAGGAAGCAGGAGCCACCUGAACAACUGAAGGGUGCAGACACCCAGAAGCUGGUUUUGUAAAUAAAUCGUGCACCUUGGCGCUGGUGCACUAAUUGGAUGCUUUGGAGUAAUACUUGCAGCUUCCAUUUAUUAAGCAUUUACUUUGUACUAGGCACUUUACAGAGAUCAUCUCCAUAAUCAUGGGUUGUAGACACUGGUGUCAUCUCCAUUCUACAGCUGAGUAAACAGGCUAAGAGAUGUUACAUAGGGUGCCCGAGCUCACACAGCUAGCAGACAGCCGGGAACUGUGGAGCUGGGAUUCACACCAGCUCUGUCUGACCUCGGGCCAAGUACUUAAGCACCUCCUCACUACAUUCUUCCUCAGUGGGUCUAUGCAUAGCAAGAAAUGAGCCACGUGCUCCCCUAGACCCAUCUUGCUCUCUCUUUUUCCUCAUUGCCUCUGCACCUUUCCUUCCCCUGCCCCUGCCCUUGGGUAGAGCAGGUAAGGAUGGUGACUCUGCAUGUGUCUGCUAGGCCCUACCUCCUUGGACCUUGUGGACCUGUUUUCUGGUGCUCCAGCCCAACUUCCAACCCCAGGCUCACCUGGUGAGUGGCUGAAUCACACUGGGAUUUUGAGAGUAUAUGCUCAUCCCACCUACCCCGGGACCAGACACUUAGAUGCUGAUUCCUGUUUGAAAAUCCUUUAGUGCCAGCCACACUGGCAUGUCCCAAGUUCACAGCCUCUCUGUCCCGUGGCGCUGGUUUUGUGUCUCCUCCCCGGGUGUAGGUUCUUUGUUUGCUUUGACACUCACACACCUCUGACCACUGGAUCCCUGCUCCUCCACCCGAUGGCUGCUUGUCUGGAAUGCCCUCACCUGCUCACAUGCUUCCUGAGGAUGAGGACUUUAAGAAAGAGAGAGAAAUCAAUCGGUCACACUAGAGUUACAUCAAAGAAAUUCUUUUUAGAAAAUCUAUUUUUUACUAUUUCCAAGGCACUCCUAUGACUUCCCAUUGGGUUUGGGGAUUUGGGAUUUGGAGUAUGAUGGGAGUAUGAAGAAAUAAAGGUACCCUUGCCAGGAAAA
rnacentral:lncRNA from 1 species